rnacentral:lncRNA from 1 species
CCAGCAGCACGGGAGAAGCUAUCUAACUAAGCAGGGAGCUGACACCUAGAGAACCAGGCAGUAGGAGGGAUGCCUGGUGGCCCCAGAGUCCCUGGUUUAAGUCAUUCCUGAGGCUGGCUGCAUUCUUGUCCAGCCAGUGGUUUGGAUACUGGAGUCAAUAAGUAAUCCCCAUACUCCCCUUUCCCAGAAGCCCGAGCAAAGCUGGCUCUGUACGCAGGAUGAGGGGAGGCUUGUGUGUGUGUGUGCGCUGUGGGUUCCUGAUCAGAAAGUUCUACCCCAUCUGAUGAGCCCUGGCAAAAAAGUCAUCAGAGAUGGUACUGAGGCUCUGAAAGCCUACGUGCUGGGGAGGAAGAUCCCAAGGAAGCAAUAAGUAACAGACUGACUUCACCUGGGCCCAUAACUCAUACCAAGGAACUAAUUCAACUGCUUCUGUGACUUCCACCCAGGAACUGACUCAACACAAGAAGACAGCUUCAACCCUCUGUAAUUUCAUCCCUGGCCCAACCAAUCAGCAUCCCCCAUUCCCUAGCCCCUUGACUGCCAAACUAUCUUUGAAAAACCCUAACCUUUGAGCUUUUGGGGAGGGUGAUUUGAGUAAUAAACUCCCAUCCUUC